AGAUUACUACAGGCUGAUUGCCCACAGAGAACAGUUAGUUGCCUUUCGCUUCCACAGGGCAUUGCCAGAACUUUGUAUAGGGUGUAUGAGAUAGACAACUCAGUCUCUUUUCUCAACUCCUCUCCAAGCCAACCUUUCUACUGGCCUUCCAUGUUUUCCAUUUAGCUACCAACCAAGGGAAGAUGAGCUGCUUCACUGGAUUGGUGAAAGCCCCACAAUGGGCCACAAUUACUAGGGGGAUACAUAAACUCAGAUCUGCUUUCUUCUUCCAUAUCCAUGGAGCUCACUGGUUGUAUGUCCAGUGAUGUAUGGGCUCCCAAGUUCACAUGCUCAUUUCUGAGUUGUUCCCCUUCGUCUGGCUCCAUCUUCUUGAUCUUUACUGUCUGGGCAUUUGCAAUGAUAUAA